rnacentral:tRNA from 1 species
GCCUGACUGGCUCAGUCUAGAGCGUGUGACUCUAGAUCUCAGAGUCGUGAGUUUGAGCCCCAUGUUGGGUG